GCCAGCCAUAAGCAACUGAUUAUUCAGAUUUUGUGAGUAAACAGGAUGUGAUUUCCUGCCAUAUCUGAUGUGGGGUUUUGUCCCAGAGCACCAGUUUAGAAUAUGAACGGUUUGGAUUUCGUCAGACUUUAAUAAAAGUACAUGAUUUCAACCACCAAUCCGUCUGGCAUCAUGUGACAUGUUUCCUGAUUUCCGGCACUCAAAUGCAAGUGUGUGUGUGGCUCAGCGAGUCUUUAGUGGCGGUGAAUGUUUAAAGCAUCUUCUCUCCUGCAGGCCGGUUGAACUCGAUGUGGUGGAAGCGUGCUAAUCACACACAGACACUGGAAACAAAACCACAGACCUGCGGGCGACUUCAUUAAACCCACUCUGAUUAACAACCAACAGAGAGAGACUCAGUCAGAGCCAGUGGCGCAAACACGAUAACAUCAGCUUGAUCCAAAUCACCUACAAUUAACUUGCUUAACUAAGAACUAACUCAAAGUCCAUUUUUUACUUUACAUCAUUAAAAACAAAGCUUGCACACAGCCGAUGCAGACAGUAAAGCAAAGAGUUCCCAAUACAUUCUACUGAGUAAAUGUGAUUUAAGGUCAGGUUAAGUAAUGACCGAAGUGUUCAUUCCGGCAGCAGCCAGGCACACAGGCUCAGUAAAGGUCAGAGGGUCACGGGUCGGUCACAGAGACAGCUCAGCAGGUGACAGCGAGAGCAAGAUAUGUGAGCGGUCGUCUCUCUGAUAAGACCCAUGUCAAUGACAGAGCGGCGGAAAGGAAAAGUGAGCCGGAGCCCCUCUGCCAGCCCUGUCCAACCUCAGCUGAAAGAAGCAACAUCUAAGAGAUGACUGUACACUUGAACACAAACAUUAAACAACAUAGAAGAAAGAGAGCGAUCUUUCAGACUGACAGACUACAGGAGAAGACAAGAGGACAUGCCAAGUUCAAGCAAGUGGUCCGCAGAGAUACGUGACCCCCUAUCACACAUGGAGUUUCCCCAAAGCCAGCACUUUCAUUGUCAUCAAUAGCCACCCAUUAAAGAGUUAGAUGAACCUUUGCAUCUUGAUUGUUUGAAUGCAUUCAUAGAUAUAUUAGUUAC
ensembl:lncRNA